UGGGGAAUCUUGCGCAAUGGGCGAAAGCCUGACGCAGCGACGCCGCGUGGGGGAUGAAGUUCUUCGGAGCGUAAACCCCUUUCGACCCGGACGAAUAGCCCGCAAGGGAAUUGACGGUACGGGUAGAAGAAGCCCCGGCUAACUACGUGCCAGCAGCCGCGGUAAAACGUAGGGGGCCAGCGUUGCUCGGAAUUACUGGGCGUAAAGGGUUCGUAGGCGGUGCGGCAAGUCGGAAGUGAAAUCUCACGGCUCAACUGUGAGGCUGCUCCCGAAACUGCUGUGCUCGAGUGCGGGAGAGGCGAGUGGAAUUGCAGGUGUAGCGGUGAAAUGCGUAGAUAUCUGCAGGAACACCCGCGGCGAAGGCGGCUCGCUGGACCGCAACUGACGCUGAGGAACGAAAGCUAGGGGAGCAAACAGGAUUAGAUACC
rnacentral:rRNA from 1 species